rnacentral:snoRNA from 10 species
AGUCCCACCUUCACUUUGCCACAAGGAUCGCUAAAUGUCCUCAGUGGUCAUUCCGGUGGGGCAGAGUACCUUCCUUGAGCAGCCCCGCCCAACUACUGUUGGCCGUGGGCCUGCAAUGAGGAGACAGUU